rnacentral:rRNA from 1 species
UAUCUUUUGAGCGCUUUCGGCCGUUCUCUUUAGCCUACCGUAAAAGGAUGGUUAAAGAACCGGUCGGCUCAAACACUGUAGGUCAUGGUAAAGUUAGCAAUAGCUUUAUCAUAAUCGACUGUGCAUAAACCUUGAUGCUCAAGGUAGGCCUUUUAUAGGGUAGAUACACAGUGCAUGGCAUUGUGGAACAAGGCAUCUCGCGGCUUAGUUGGUGGGCCGCGGGGGCAAUGAUUAAUAGGGAGGAGCGGGGGCCUUCAUAUUGCAGGGCGAGAGGUGAAAUUCGUUGACCCUUGCAAGAUGUCCUACAGCGAAAGCAUUGGCCAAGUGCCUCCCCAUUAGUCAAGAACGAAAGUUUGGGGAUCAAAGACGAUCAGAUACCGUCGUAGUCCAAACCAUAAACUAUGUCGACCAGCGAUUAGGCGGGCUACCUUCUUCGAGAGCUGCCUAGCAGCUUGUGGGAAACCAUGAGUGCUUGGACUCUGGGGGGAGUAUGGUCGCAAGGCUGAAACUUAAAGGAAUUGACGGAAGGGCACACCAUGGAGUGGAGCCUGCGGCUUAAU